UUAUCUGUAAAUUGGUUGCGUGUCCUUUGCAUUGUGUUGUAAAUGACUUCCCUAUUCUUGUAUUUCUGAAAGAAGUGAUGUAUUUUCAAAUGAUGGGAUCCCUAUCCCACUUAGCCAGUCAGGAAAACAAAGAGUUACAGCGAUGGUAACUUUUCCUGCCCACCUUCUUUGACUGCAGAUCGGCUGGCUCCAGCUUCAAGCAGCGUGGCAAAGGUGAAAUGAGAGAAGCCCGGUGUGAGUGGUGGGGAGAGCAGCUACUCUGAGUUAUGUUUAAGAAGCAGGGUUCAUUUAGGGGGUGUUGCUAGGUUUGUCCGAAGGCAUUUGCCACGGCAUCAUGCUGCAGGCUUUUCCCUCCGGCCGGAUUUCUGUGUACAGCAUUCCAGCUCCGGACACUGAGGGGGCUGCAGGGCAGGUAAGAGCCACCAGCUAAGCUUUGUGGUGGGAACACAGUAAAGAGUUUCUCUCUGUCCACUCCUGUGUGCUUUGACCUCUAUUCUUCAUCACUUGCCUGUAACUCAAGGGAUAAAAAUUCCUCCCCCCUCCCGCUUUCACAGCUUGAGGUGCACACAAGAGGGAAGUAGCCCAGAGAGGUGUGGGUUUCAUGUGUGACCUAGCUGAUAACAUGAAAGAUCUCAAUUUAAUUCUAUUUAAGAGAAUAAAUACACCAAAAUGUGAUUUAACAGCUCUUCAUAUUUUUUUUGUACUAACCGAUGCCAUCCACGGUCCUUCUCCAGGCAAGUCCACGUGUUUGCCACUGCCCAUCCUACCAAGAAGGUUUGUGCCGAAAGAAUCGUUUCUUCAAAUGGAUGAAGUUGUGUUUGUGGAGGAGAUGUCUUCUAGGAAUAUUACCGACAGUUUCUUUAGCCUUGACAGCAAUUGUGCUAGUCCUGCACUACUCACUCUCUCCAGCUUUUUCCUAUAUUUAUAUCAGUGGAAGUGUAGAAAUUCCUAAUUUGACUUAUACAAAUGACCUCAAUGAUCCAACAUCACAGAAGUUCCUCCUGCAAGCAAAAGCAAUCCAAAAUUAUGUAAGUUCCCACAUAAAUAGAGCAGUAUUUUGUAAAUAUUUAUACAGAAUCAGCUGGGAAUGAGGAGGGGACUCC
rnacentral:lncRNA from 12 species